rnacentral:tRNA from 3 species
UUAAUUGAAACCAAAAUAGAGGUUUAUCACUGUUAAUGAUAAUAAUGAAAUAAAUUUUCCAAUUAAA